GACGAACGCUGGCGGCGUGCUUAACACAUGCAAGUCGAACGGUGAAGCGCCUUCCUUUUUGGUGGGUGUGGAUGAGUGGCGAACGGGUGAGUAACACGUGAGUAACCUGCCCCCUUCUUCUGGAUAACCGCAUGAAAGUGUGGCUAAUACGGGAUAUUCUGGGUCUGUCGCAUGAUGGGUCUGGGAAAGAUAUUGUUUCGGUGGGGGAUGGGCUCGCGGCCUAUCAGCUUGUUGGUGGGGUGAUGGCCGACCAAGGCGGUGACGGGUAGCCGGCCUGAGAGGGUGGACGGUCACACUGGGACUGAGACACGGCCCAGACUCCUACGGGAGGCAGCAGUGGGGAAUAUUGCACAAUGGGCGCAAGCCUGAUGCAGCGACGCCGCGUGAGGGAUGGAGGCCUUCGGGUUGUGAACCUCUUUCGCCAGUGAAGCAGGCCUGCCUCGUUUGUGGGUGGGUUGACGGUAGCUGGAUAAGAAGCGCCGGCUAACUACGUG
rnacentral:rRNA from 1 species